CACAGCUCACAAGCAAUAAUCACAUCAGAAAGGGUUUCCCCACUUUUUCUGGAAAACUCUCUGCCCUAGUUUCAGCCUGUACAUUCACAAGACUUGGUUAAACAUGCAUUGUUUAGUACAGGGCAGAAGCUUUCAGGCAGAAGUGAUCAAGGAGAGGAUUAUAAGGAAAGCUUUCCCUGGCAUCACAAGUGGCCAGUGGAACAAAACUAGUGGAAGAAGCAGCCUUUGAAAGUCUCUCCCUGUAAGGAGCACCCAUUUCCAAACAUCUAUCAGAUGUCUGCAGCAAUCUUGCCUUCCCACUGUAAGAUAACUCAGAGUGAGUCCUGCCAGGUAGUGAUUAUAAACACGUGAAUGACACCAGGAUCGGUGUACCGAGUCGUGAGCACCCUCGUUCCUUGCUGACACACACCAUGUACAGAGAAAAACACCACGUAGAGCCUCCAUUCAGCAUCAAGAACGUGACCUCUGAAACCCUUAAGUUCAGGCCUGGGAUUUCAUGCUGAAUGCUGCCAUGUGGAGUCACUGUAUGUAACCAGUUAAACUGGCUAGAUGGCUGCUGCAGUCCACAGCUGCUCUGGUUUGCACUCAGCAGCAAGCUGUUAUUUGCCUCCUUUUGCACAACACAAGCCUCAUCUCUCUGCAGACAUGCAACAGCAUGUCUGCUACCUUUGCACUACCAUACUCAUGUCCCAGGGUGAGUCCAAGCAAGUUUAGUCAGACUCUCAAGGCCUUUUUUUAAUGCUGAAAUAUUGUCUCAGAAGGCAAUGGCAGGAUGAAUGGGACUGAAACGAGCAUGGGAACACAGUAACUGUAAAUGUGUCCUCACUCGUCUCUUUCAUAUAAUGCUUAUUCAAAAUCUUUUAAUGUUUUUAAUUAGAUUUUACUCAUUGUGAGUUCUGUAUUUCAUUCAUGUAAUAGCACUCUAAUGAAGUCAACUAAGAGCUACAAAAUUCAGAGCUGGAUCUUUAAAAAAUCUUUGAAAACCACAAAUGUCUUGUACUGAUGGUUGAACAACCUGCCUCAGGAUCCAGAAUCCAAACUUUCCUCCAACUCGGGUAUCAAAUAUUCUUACCCAGAAGGCCAUCGACCACCCUUGCAACCCCUUUCUUCAGUGUGGGUGUGAUAACAGCACCCAACCUGGCCAGCACUCCCAGAGGACAUUUUCCAGCAUGGUCCUGGAAAUUGCAGUGAGCCGGGAGUGACCACAAUAAUCACUGGGAGAAGACAUGAGCUGCACAGAUAUGAACUAUGCUGCGCCAGUUCCCCUCCAUGCCGAGCACAGGGCUGGGUGACCAGGACCUGGCUGUCUCGUUUACUUAUUCCUGACAGAUGCAGAAAAGCAGAGAAAGAAGUUUUAGGUCUCCCCAGUCAUUAUAAUGCUACUUCAUCAUCCUCCAUCAAAAGCUAUGUGAUUUCUGCUACCAAAUAAAACAAUUUAAUAAUCAAAGGAGAGUUCACUCAGAAUAUCUUUUUUUUUCCUGUGGUAUCUGUGAAAGCAAAAUCCAGAGGAAGAAAUAGCCAGAGCAGCCAAAAUCUCAAAUUAACACCGCUAGUUUAAAAAUCAAACUGCUACUUUAUAGCCAAGCAAUGUAAAGGAUGUAGGGUAAGUGUAGUUUGAGUGCAACUGCUUAAAGUUGAAGAACAAAGAGUCCUGCUGCCCUUGGAGCCUGACAGAGGAGGCCUGCAGAAAUGCUACUGUGAAAGAAGGGCCACAACUGAUCUGAGGAUUAUGGAGGCGUGUGUUGCUACCAGACAGUCUUGGACCAAAAAUCAGUAGCACUUUCACAUAUUUUUCAGCUGAUAGAAUAUUAAGAACCAUAGACAAUGUGAAGAAGAUUAUUUUAGAAUUCAUAACUACAUUAUCAUCUCCAGAUUUUGCCACAUUAACCUGAAGUGACAUGAAAGAACAGAAAUGUGGUAAUAUUGGGAAUAUAGGAUAGCUCCUACUCUCUAAUGGCCCGGAACCUCCAGCAACAAGAGGGAUGGUCAUAUAGUCCAUCAAUUCUUCAGAGCUCUCUGGAGACCAGUUCUAAGUCAAGAGACUUGCCACGGUAUGUAUCUCGUAGGCUGCAUUCAGCAAGAUCCAUCUCACAUGCACACAAAUGUACCCAGUGUACCAGGAAAGUUGCUCACACAAAGAGGCAGCAGUCAUUUCCCCACACUUAACAAAAUGCAAAGUGAGCAGAAGUGCCAGCAGUAGAAAGUGUAACUGGCAAAGGAUCAUUUGUCACUUGGGUAAUUAUAAUAGGGGAUGCAGUAAUA